GCUAAGUCGUGAAGUGAAAACUUGUUGCGACUCUCUGUAGCAAUACAGAUGACAAAAUUUGACUAUAUGCUGGAAUAACCGAGUAUCCCAAGAUACUUUAGUUCCGUGGUUCGAACCAUGGAACCGAGUGAAAAUUCUUGAGUGCGGUCAAUCAGCAGGCAACCUUAAUUUGCUGAGUAGUGGAGGGGAUACGCAUCAGCCUAACUGCUGGCAAGAGAUGUAAUUCCCUUCAUAAUGAGAGUAGUGUAGCACUGGUGGAUCCAGUAAUUUUCGGGAUCGUGGCCGGUCAGUGGACAACUGCAUUUCUUUCAUUCAAGGUGAGGAUUGUGCGCACAAUCCUCACCUCUACUACUCAGUAAAUUAAGAGAGCCCUCAGAGACUACACGUCAAACUCCGAAGAUUUCGGAUGAAGAUAUAGUCCGACCUCUGUGGCGACAUAGAG
rnacentral:ribozyme from 1 species